rnacentral:sRNA from 1 species
AAUAAAAUGUGCAGGAUGCUAGAUGGCACUAAAUGCCACGGAGAAAAAGAAAGUAGAGGAGGAUGACGAGAAUGUUGGGAAGGGCUAUGGUUUUGUAUCUGGUGGUCAGGGAAGGCCUCAUUGAGAAGGUGACCUGUAAUCAAGACUGCAGGCGGUGCAGAGAGAGCCAUGCAGAUGUCUGGCAGAAGGGCUUCCCAGGCAGAGAGAGCAAGUGCAGAGGUCCCAAGGUGGGAGCAGGUCUUGCACAGUUGACCAGCAACAUGGAGGCUGGUGUGGCUGAGGAGAGAGAGCUGGUGGGGAGUAGAAGAGCUCAGAGAUGUAGCGUCUGAACCUUGGUUUGCCUCUGAGUGAACUGGGAAGCUGUUGGAGGUUUCGAGCAGGUUAGGAACAUGAUCUCAUUUGUGUUUAAGCACAAUCCGUGUGGCUAAGGUGUUGAGCAGCCCAGCAUAAGGAGCCAGUGUUCUUGGACCUUUGUUGUAAGGCUGGGAGAACGGGGUCCUGUCUUUGUUAAUCUCUCUAUCUGCUCCCUUCCCAGUAGCCUGCUGGUUCGGAGAGCCUGCUGAAAGUUCUGUCCUCACCCAGUUCUCUCCUCUUUCUGCCCAGAGGCUCCUCCCAGCCUCGAGGGGAGAGGACAAAAGAUAAUCUGUGAAGUUUUAAUGGCAGAAUAGGAUUGAUAAAUUAAUAUGGCUGGCUCUUGUAUUCCUUUCAGCCUUGCCUUAAUCUGGUGCUUCUCAAACAUGUAUUUCUGUUCCCUGAAUCUCAUUCCUCCCAUGGAGACAAAAUAAAUACCUUCCCUGGGCAGAGAGAACCCUUUGAGUCUCUGUGUUCUCAGUUAUCUCGUCCCAGGCUGGGGAGAAAGGACAGAGGUCCCGGGGUUAGGGUGAGAUAGGAGUUGGGGACUGAAGGGUGACAGUAGUCUCUCCUAGCACUUGCAGUGUUCAGAGGAAAUAACCCCUCGUUACCCAGGGUCUAGCCCUCAUGUCUCAUUUUUGCAUUUCGAGUAGUCUGAGGGCUUAGAUUCUGAGUUCUUUUCUCGGUUUGAACCAAUUUAUCUUCUUUUUUUCUUUCUUCCUUUUUUUUAAAAAGAGUUUCUCUGUCGCCCAGUCUGGAGUGCAGUGGAGCAAUCAUAGCUCACUAUAACCUCGAACUCCUGGGCUCAAGUGAUCCUCCGGCCUCAGCCUCCUGAGUAGCUGGGACUACAGGCAUAUACCACCAUGUUUGGCUAAUUUUAAAAAUUUCUGUAGAGACAGGGUCUCACUGUUUCCCAGGCUGGUCUUGAACUCCUGGCCUCAAGCGAUCCUCCUGCCUCGGCCUCCCACAGUGCUGGAAUUGCAAGUGUGAGCCAUCAUGUACAGCCUGAACCAAUCUUUCUUGUAUCCUCAGCUUGAGAUCUUCUUAGCCCAGAGAGCAGUGGAGUUGAGUGAGGAGGCAGACGUCCUGUCUGUGAGCCAGUUCCAGCUGGCUCCAGCCAUCCUGCAGGGUCAGACCAAAGAGAAGACGGUUACCAUGGUGUCAGUGCUGGAGGAUCUGAUUGGCAAGCUUACCAGUCUUCAACUGCAACACCUGUUUAUGAUCCUGGCCUCACCAAGGUCUGGCUUCCCCUUGAUGCAAGGCUCUGCCAUCUUGAGCAGCUCUGCCUCCUUGUAUUCCUCCUCUUGUUCCAUGACCCCUUAGACCCCAUCCCUGCCUCCUGGCCAUUGCCAUCCAUUGGGGAUAGGGGUUCUCUUUGGGACAAGAGGGGGUGGUUCGAUAUAUACAGGAAGAAUCUGCUUGCUUCCUGAAUAGGACAGGGGAACUGGGAGUGGGUUUUCCUUAAAAGGAAAGGGUUUAAGGAUGUGAGGGUAAGCGGCCAAUUGGGGGUUUGGUUUCCCGAGCCUCUCACCUCCCCAGCAGCUGAAUGGGAAUGCUCAGGAUGCACAGCUACCCCAGCACUCACCUGAGUGCCCUGCACAGGUAUGUGGACCGAGUGACUGAAUUCCUCCAGCAAAAGCUGAAGCAGUCCCAGUUGCUGGCUUUGAAGAAAGAGCUGAUGGUGCAGAAGCAGCAGGAGGCACUUGAGGAGCAGGCAGCUCUGGAGCCUAAGCUGGACCUGCUGCUGGAGAAGACCAAGGAGCUGCAGAAGCUGAUUGAAGCUGACAUCUCCAAGAGGUACAGCGGGCGCCCUGUGAACCUGAUGGGAACCUCUCUGUGACACCCUCCGUGUUCUUGCCUGCCCAUCUUCUCCGCUUUUGGGAUGAAGAUGAUAGCCAGGGCUGUUGUUUUGGGGCCCUUCAAGGCAAAAGACCAGGCCGACUGGAAGACGGAAAGCCACAGGAAGGAAGCAGCACCUGAUGGUGAUCUUGGCACUCUCCAUGUUCUCUACAAGAAGCUGUGGUGAUUGGCCCUGUGGCCUGUCAGGUGAAAACCACAGCUUCUUCUAAUUAGUAUAGCAGACUUCAUAAAAGAGGAAAAAACUCUUG